AACGAACGCUGGCGGCAGGCUUAACACAUGCAAGUCGAGCGCCCCGCAAGGGGAGCGGCAGACGGGUGAGUAACGCGUGGGAAUCUACCCAUCUCUACGGAAUAACGCAUGGAAACGUGUGCUAAUACCGUAUACGGCCUUCGGGAGAAAGAUUUAUCGGGGAUGGAUGAGCCCGCGUUGGUUUGGCCAGUUGGUGGGGAAAAGGCCUACCAAGGCGACGAUCGAUAGCUGGCGGGAGAGGAUGAGCAGCCACACUGGGGCUGGGACACGGCCCUGACUCGUACGGGAGGCAGCGGGGGGGAUGAUUGGACAAUGGGCGCAAGCCUAAUCCAGCCAUGCUGCGUGAGUGAUGAAGGCCAUAGGGUUGUAAAGCUCCUUCACCGGUGAAGAUAAUGACGGUAACCGGAGAAGAAGCCCCGGCUAACUUCGUGCCAGCAGCCGCCGCGGUAA
rnacentral:rRNA from 1 species